rnacentral:rRNA from 1 species
GUAGAGUCCGGUGCAGGAUGCGGGUGAAGAGGGAGGAUGUAAGCGUUAACCGGAAUCAUUGGGUUUAAAGGGUCCGUAGGCGGCCUUAUAAGGAAGCGGUGAAAGUUUUUUGCUUAACCAAAAAAUUGCCAUUGAUACUGUAGGGCUUGAAUUAGUGUGAAGUAACUAGAAUAUGUAGUGUAGCGGUGAAAUGCUUAGAUAUUACAUGGAAUACCAAUUGCGAAGGCAGGUUACUAACAAUAUAUUGACGCUGAUGGACGAAAGCGUGGGUAGCGAACAGGAUUAGAUACCCUGGUAGUC